ACGAACGCUGGCGGCGCGCUUAACCCCUGCCAGUCGAACGGAAAGGCCUGCUUUCCCUUGUGGAUUGCGGGUACUCGAGUGGCGAACGGGUGAGUAACACGUGAGUGAUCUGCCCCCAACUUGGGUAUAAGCCUGGGAAACUGGGUCUAAUUCCCGAUAGGACUGCAGGGUGGUGCCUGUGGUGGAAAACGAUUUUCUAGUGGUUGGGGAUGAGCUCGCGGCCUAUCGGCUUGUUGGUGGGGUAAUGGCCUACCAAGGCGGCGACGGGUAGCCGGCCUGAGAGGGUGGACGGCCACAUUGGGACUGAGAUACGGCCCAGACUCCUACGGGAGGCAGCAGUGGGGAAUAUUGCACAAUGGGCGGAAGCCUGAUGCAGCGACGCCGCGUGGGGGAUGACGGCCUUCGGGUUGUAAACUCCUUUCGACCGCGAGGAAGCCACCUGGUUGGAAGGGUGGUGACGGUAGUGGUAGAAGAAGCACCGGCUAACUACGUG
rnacentral:rRNA from 1 species